GUCAGAAUGGCCGAGUGGUCUAAGGCGCCAGACUCAAGGUGAUUUAACCUUCGCAGGCGUGGGUUCAAAUCCCUCUUUUGACA
rnacentral:tRNA from 1 species